rnacentral:rRNA from 1 species
GAUGAACGCUAGCUACAGGCUUAACACAUGCAAGUCGCGGGGCAGCAUGGGGGUUGCUUGCAAUCCCCGAUGGCGACCGGCGCACGGGUGAGUAACGCGUAUCCAACCUGCCCUUCACCACGGGAUAACCCGGCGAAAGUCGGACUAAUACCGAAUGUUGUCCAUUGACGGCAUCCGAUUUGGACGAAAGGCUUGGCGGUGAGGGAUGGGGAUGCGUCCGAUUAGCCAGACGGCGGGGUAACGGCCCACCGUGGCUACGAUCGGUAGGGGUUCUGAGAGGAAGGUCCCCCACACUGGAACUGAGACACGGUCCAGACUCCUACGGGAGGCAGCAGUGAGGAAUAUUGGUCAAUGGGCGUAAGCCUGAACCAGCCAAGUAGCGUGCAGGAUGACGGCCCUAUGGGUUGUAAACUGCUUUUAUGCGGGGAUAAAGUGGCCCACGUGUGGGCUUUUGCAGGUACCGCAUGAAUAAGGACCGGCUAAUUCCGUG